AGCUUCUGGAGAAGGAGCCUCUGGGAGGAAGGUAGCCAUGCCCCUUCCUGUCCCAGGCUGCUGCCAUUGCUGUUGCUGUAAGCUUGGUCUCAGGAGCUUCUGGGGAGAAGAUGGCCAGACCCCUUCCUGCCUCUGGCUACUACUAGCUGCUGGCUUAUUCUCAGAGCUUUUGGGGCUGCCUCACUGCAUCUGAUCCUGUUUUGUUUUCCUGCCUACUGCUCUGUUGCUGAGUGCCUGGCAGGAGGCCUGAGGGGCUCCUGGACUCAACUCCAACAAACGAAGCCCCUCCACCGCUCUAGCCAUCUUUCACAUAUGCCUCAGCAGCCUUCCCUGUGUGUUUUUUCCCUUGUAUGGACCAGGAGGAGGACACCCAAGAACUAGCAGGCUUCAUGGAACCUGUGGACCUCUCAGUCCUGGCAGUCCCCAGGAGUGAGCUACUUGCAUUUCUUGACCACAACUACACCCGGCAGUCUGCCAGCAAGGAGGGUGCUGCACGAGCUGAUGAACCCAACAUAGGGUGUUGAGAUGUGUGAGGCCCCUGCUGAACCAUCUACUCCAGCCCCCCAGCCAUGAGGUAAUUUGCGAUCGUGACCCUCAACAUCCACAGCUGCAGGAAGUGUCUCCGGAGAUGCCGGGUGCUCUCCUUCCUUCAGGAGGGGGGCGUACCCCUUGGUACUCUUGCAGGAGACCCUGAUGAUUCUAGCCGACGAGCCUAGCUGGCAGCUGGAGUGGGGAGACAGGGUCUUUUUUAGUCAACUCUCAGCCACCUGUUGCAGGGUGGCCACCUUGUUCUCCCCAGGCCUACAGCUGGAGGUUCUCCAGGACACUGAAAUGGUGCCAGACUGCCUACUGCCAGAGUUCUACCAGGACCUCCUCCAGGCCUGGAGGCUGGUUUCUGCCUCCAAGUCCCCUGCAACACUUGCCCAAGGCGCCAACCUGCUUGUCAAGCCCCUCCUCUAGAACUCCCAGCUGGAGGUACCGACAACAGAUGCACCCCGGUUGCGACAGAGGUUGUUUCUGGUUGGUGUCAUAUUGGAGACCUCUUGGACUACAAUAGGCAGGAAUGGGGGGACCCCACUGUGCUGGCCUGGCACAUGGGUCUACCCAUGACAUGUGCGACCUGCUAUCUGGUCCAGGAGGUGAAAUCUGCCCUAUCUCCUGAUGCCGUUGCCCUUGUCAACCAGGUCUUGCAUGGUGGUAGUCCCCCUCCCCCCAUGUCCUCCAGGCCACCAGAGUUUGUUGUGGGGUUGGCGCCACAACCGGCCUUGCGGCACUCUCCACACCAUUACCUAAACCAGCUGGAGGACACCAGACUGGUCCACUUUUCCACCGUCCAUUGCUGCCACCUCUACAUGCUUGUGUGCCACAUGAUCCAUCAUGCUGCCCUCGUGUCCCACCCAGACACCAAGUGGCAGGACCUGCUUGGCAAGGGCGUGGCUGGGGCACCCCAGUGGCCGAGUCUGUACUCCACCCUCAUCCCACGAGCCACUGGGGACCUCAGCUGGCAACUUCUCCAUGGAGCUGUUGCCACAGGCAUUAUGUGGCAAGCUUCACAGACACCCCGGUUUCCUGCCCCUUCUGUGGGCUGAGGGAGACCCUGGUGCACAUGGCCCUCAAGUGUGCCAGGCUGCAGCCCCUCCACCUCCACCUCCAGAACCUCCUCCUGAGGUUCUGGUUGAAUUUCACUCCCCACCUUUUUGUUUUUGGUCACCCCAUCUGUGGCCCCACCAAGUCCUGGGAUCCCUCAUUCUGGCCCUGGCCAAGUGGGCCCUGUACUUGACCAGGGAGGAGGCUCUGGCCAGGAAGGUGCCUGGAGACUGUGGGGCCACUUUUCUCUCACUUGUCUGUGCAUGUUUCCAGGCAGAGCACCAGUGGGCAGCAUCUGCCAGCUCCUUGGAUGCCUUUGAGGACUGGUGGAUGCAGCCCAGGGAGCUGUGUUCAAUGUCCCCCUCAGGCACACUUUUUUUCACGUUUUGAGCCUUUGACCCUCACAUCACUCUAGUCCUGUUUUUUGCCUUUGUUGUCCCAAGUAUGUUGUUGUAGCAUUCACCCAUUAGCCCCCAUACAAUAGGGGCUACUAGUUAGCCAAGUGGGCCUUAGGGCCCACAGUAUUUGAAUGUUACAAGUAAACAGGAGCUUGUGAGGCCUAGGCAGUUGAUUAUAUGGGCACACUAGCCCCUUGUGCCAGUUGGAGUGCUAAAGCAGCCCUGACCUAGAGUGCCCCCCUGCAUCCUCUACCCACUGCAGCAGUCUAGCAGCAAGGGCUGCUGCCUGGUUGUGACCUUCUGCCACCUGCAACAGCAUCACCCCCCGCUUGGACCUGUGGCCCCAUGGCUGUGCAACUGCCAAACACAGAUGGGGACUGCCUGCCCACCUGUGCUGAACACUGCAGCAGAGCCACCUGCACCUCUGCCUCAGCUGCCAGUGGGCCGUGGCUGCACAGUUGGCCUUCAUGUGGCACUGCUGUCAUGUCUUCUGGUGAACCCACUCUGCCAUCUAGGCAGCUAUAGCCUGGGGAAGAUACGCUCAUGGCAGCGUCCCGCUUUGAACUGUCAGAGCGUGUCCUCCUGACUCCAAAUGGCCAGGAGGUCAGCCACCUUGUCUGCCCUCCAGCUGGGCCCCAGUGCUGGCCCUGGGCUGGGUCCUGUGCCAGGGUCUCAACACUUGCCUCACCAGCAGAGAUCCUGGUAUUUCCCUGUUUAAAAAUUGCAAAUUCUCUGAUAAAAAUCCCCCAAAUUCUCUCAUUAAAAUACCCCAAAUCCACAUUCUUCCACAAUUAAAAUGAAAUGCCACUAUAUAUAGACAGAGAUUAGUUGAGCAAUGUUUUACUGAUAUAUUUACAAUGAUAAAGCAAUUUGGAAGCCUACCAGUGCCUCUAUCAUCAUAAUAAAAUAAAUUCUAAAUAUCUAUACACUUUAGGUUUUGCUUUUGUUUUUUUUAUCAUAGAAAAAUCAGAGCUCCCCCUGCCCUCUUCACUCACCAGGAUGCGGGGACAGCUGUAGCUGGACUCACAGCUGCUUGUGGUGCUAAGCAGCACUGAUAUGCUGGUGCUUUGCCCCUGCCCAUGCCCAAGACUUUGCCCCUCACUCCCAACCCAUAGCCCCACCAGUGCCCCUCAAUCCUGAUCA